GGGUUGUGAGGUUAAGCGACUAAGCGUACACGGUGGAUGCCCUGGCAGUCAGAGGCGAUGAAGGACGUGCUAAUCUGCGAAAAGCGCCGGCGAGGUGAUAUGAACCUUUGACCCGGCGAUGUCCGAAUGGGGAAACCCAGUGUGAUUCGUCACACUAUCGUUAACUGAAUACAUAGGUUAACGAGGCGAACCGGGGGAACUGAAACAUCUAAGUACCCCGAGGAAAAGAAAUCAACCGAGAUUCCCCCAGUAGCGGCGAGCGAACGGGGAGCAGCCCAGAGUCUGAAUCAGCUUGUGUGUUAGUGGAAGCGUCUGGAAAGUCGCACGGUACAGGGUGACAGUCCCGUACACGAAAGCACACAGGUUGUGAACUCGAAGAGUAGGGCGGGACACGUGGUAUCCUGUCUGAAUAUGGGGGGACCAUCCUCCAAGGCUAAAUACUCCUGACUGACCGAUAGUGAACCAGUACCGUGAGGGAAAGGCGAAAAGAACCCCGGCGAGGGGAGUGAAACAGAACCUGAAACCGUGUACGUACAAGCAGUGGGAGCACCUUCGUGGUGUGACUGCGUACCUUUUGUAUAAUGGGUCAGCGACUUAUAUUCUGUAGCAAGGUUAACCGUAUAGGGGAGCCGAAGGGAAACCGAGUCUUAACUGGGCGUUAAGUUGCAGGGUAUAGACCCGAAACCCGGUGAUCUAGCCAUGGGCAGGUUGAAGGUUGGGUAACACUAACUGGAGGACCGAACCGACUAAUGUUGAAAAAUUAGCGGAUGACUUGUGGCUGGGGGUGAAAGGCCAAUCAAACCGGGAGAUAGCUGGUUCUCCCCGAAAGCUAUUUAGGUAGCGCCUCGUGAACUCAUCUUCGGGGGUAGAGCACUGUUUCGGCUAGGGGGCCAUCCCGGCUUACCAACCCGAUGCAAACUACGAAUACCGAAGAAUGUUAUCACGGGAGACACACGGCGGGUGCUAACGUCCGUCGUGAAGAGGGAAACAACCCAGACCGCCAGCUAAGGUCCCAAAGUCAUGGUUAAGUGGGAAACGAUGUGGGAAGGCACAGACAGCCAGGAUGUUGGCUUAGAAGCAGCCAUCAUUUAAAGAAAGCGUAAUAGCUCACUGGUCGAGUCGGCCUGCGCGGAAGAUGUAACGGGGCUAAACCAUGCACCGAAGCUGCGGCAGCGACACUAUGUGUUGUUGGGUAGGGGAGCGUUCUGUAAGCCGUUGAAGGUGGCCUGUGAGGGUUGCUGGAGGUAUCAGAAGUGCGAAUGCUGACAUAAGUAACGAUAAAGCGGGUGAAAAGCCCGCUCGCCGGAAGACCAAGGGUUCCUGUCCAACGUUAAUCGGGGCAGGGUGAGUCGACCCCUAAGGCGAGGCCGAAAGGCGUAGUCGAUGGGAAACAGGUUAAUAUUCCUGUACUUGGUGUUACUGCGAAGGGGGGACGGAGAAGGCUAUGUUAGCCGGGCGACGGUUGUCCCGGUUUAAGCAUGUAGGCGGAGGUUCCAGGUAAAUCCGGUACCUUUUAACGCUGAGGUGUGAUGACGAGGCACUACGGUGCUGAAGUAACAAAUGCCCUGCUUCCAGGAAAAGCCUCUAAGCAUCAGGUAACAUCAAAUCGUACCCCAAACCGACACAGGUGGUCAGGUAGAGAAUACCAAGGCGCUUGAGAGAACUCGGGUGAAGGAACUAGGCAAAAUGGUGCCGUAACUUCGGGAGAAGGCACGCUGAUAUGUAGGUGAAGCCCCUGCGGGUGGAGCUGAAAUCAGUCGAAGAUACCAGCUGGCUGCAACUGUUUAUUAAAAACACAGCACUGUGCAAACACGAAAGUGGACGUAUACGGUGUGACGCCUGCCCGGUGCCGGAAGGUUAAUUGAUGGGGUUAGCGGUAACGCGAAGCUCUUGAUCGAAGCCCCGGUAAACGGCGGCCGUAACUAUAACGGUCCUAAGGUAGCGAAAUUCCUUGUCGGGUAAGUUCCGACCUGCACGAAUGGCGUAAUGAUGGCCAGGCUGUCUCCACCCGAGACUCAGUGAAAUUGAACUCGCUGUGAAGAUGCAGUGUACCCGCGGCAAGACGGAAAGACCCCGUGAACCUUUACUAUAGCUUGACACUGAACACUGGUCCUUGAUGUGUAGGAUAGGUGGGAGGCUUUGAAGUGUGGACGCCAGUCUGCAUGGAGCCGUCCUUGAAAUACCACCCUUUAAUGGCUGGUGUUCUAACGUAGACCCGUGAUCCGGGUUGCGGACAGUGUCUGGUGGGUAGUUUGACUGGGGCGGUCUCCUCCCAAAGAGUAACGGAGGAGCACGAAGGUUAGCUAAUCCUGGUCGGACAUCAGGAGGUUAGUGCAAUGGCAUAAGCUAGCUUGACUGCGAGAGUGACGGCUCGAGCAGGUGCGAAAGCAGGUCAUAGUGAUCCGGUGGUUCUGAAUGGAAGGGCCAUCGCUCAACGGAUAAAAGGUACUCCGGGGAUAACAGGCUGAUACCGCCCAAGAGUUCAUAUCGACGGCGGUGUUUGGCACCUCGAUGUCGGCUCAUCACAUCCUGGGGCUGAAGUAGGUCCCAAGGGUAUGGCUGUUCGCCAUUUAAAGUGGUACGCGAGCUGGGUUUAGAACGUCGUGAGACAGUUCGGUCCCUAUCUGCCGUGGGCGCUGGAGAAUUGAGGGGGGCUGCUCCUAGUACGAGAGGACCGGAGUGGACGCAUCACUGGUGUUCGGGUUGUCAUGCCAAUGGCACUGCCCGGUAGCUAAAUGCGGAAAAGAUAAGUGCUGAAAGCAUCUAAGCACGAAACUUGCCCCGAGAUGAGUUCUCCCUGAGACUUUAAGUCUCCUGAAGGAACGUUGAAGACGACGACGUUGAUAGGUCGGGUGUGUAAGCGCAGCGAUGCGUUGAGCUAACCGAUACUAAUGAACCGUGAGGCUUAACCUUACAACGCCGAAGGUGUUU
rnacentral:rRNA from 1 species